CCGCUGAACUUAAGCAUAUCAAUAAGCGGAGGAAAAGAAACCAACAGGGAUUGCCCUAGUAACGGCGAGUGAAGCGGCAACAGCUCAAAUUUGAAAUCUGGCGCAAGCCCGAGUUGUAAUUUGUAGAGGAUGCUUCUGGGUAGCGACCGAUCUAAGUUCCUUGGAACAGGACGUCAUAGAGGGUGAGAAUCCCGUAUGUGACCGGCCCGCACCCUUUACGUAGCUCCUUCGACGAGUCGAGUUGUUUGGGAAUGCAGCUCUAAAUGGGAGGUAAAUUUCUUCUAAAGCUAAAUACCGGCCAGAGACCGAUAGCGCACAAGUAGAGUGAUCGAAAGAUGAAAAGUACUUUGGAAAGAGAGUUAAAAAGCACGUGAAAUUGUUGAAAGGGAAGCGCCUGCAACCAGACUUCGCGGCAGUGUUCCGCCGGUCUUCUGACCGGUUCAUUCUCUGUCGCGAGGCCAUCAUCGUCUGGGCCCGCCGGAUAAGACCUGAGGAAUGUGGCUCCCCCUCGGGGGAGUGUUAUAGCCUCUGGUGAUGCGGCGUGGCUCGGGCGAGGUCCGCGCUUCGGCAAGGAUGAUGGCGUAAUGGUUGUCGGCGGCCCGUCUUGAAACACGGACCAAGGAGUCUAACAUCUAUGCGAGUGUUCGGGUGUCAAACCCCUACGCGUAAUGAAAGUGAACGGAGGUGGGAACCGCAAGGUGCACCAUCGACCGAUCCUGAUGUCCUCGGAUGGAUUUGAGUAAGAGCAUAGCUGUUGGGACCCGAAAGAUGGUGAACUAUGCCUGAAUAGGGUGAAGCCAGAGGAAACUCUGGUGGAGGCUCGCAGCGGUUCUGACGUGCAAAUCGAUCGUCAAAUUUGGGUAUAGGGGCGAAAGACUAAUCGAACCUCUAGUACUGGUUC
rnacentral:rRNA from 1 species